GAUGAACGCUAGCGAUAGGCCUAACACAUGCAAGUCGAGGGGCAUCACGGAGUAGCAAUACUUUGGUGGCGACCGGCGCACGGGUGAGUAACGCGUAUGCAAUCUACCUACAACAGGGGGAUAACCCGGAGAAAUCCGGACUAAUACCGCAUAACACAGGGGUCCCGCAUGGGAAUAUUUGUUAAAGAUUUAUCGGUUGUAGAUGAGCAUGCGUUCCAUUAGGUAGUUGGUGAGGUAACGGCCCACCAAGCCUGCGAUGGAUAGGGGAGCUGAGAGGUUUGUCCCCAACACUGGCACUGAGACACGGACGAGACUCCUACGGGAGGCAGCAGUGAGGAAUAUUGGUCAAUGGUCGAGAGCCUGAACCAGCCAAAUCGCGUGAAGGAAGACUGCCUUAUGGGUUGUAAACUUCUUUUGUACAGGAAUAAAAAGAGGGACGUGUCCUUCAUUGCAUGUACUGUACGAAUAAGCAUCGGCUAACUCCGUGCCAGCCGCCGCCGUAA
rnacentral:rRNA from 1 species